UUUCUAGAUUAAUAAGUUAUUUAGAGAGUUGGCUGAGAGGUUUAAGGCGUCUAGCUUGAGACUAGAAGGAUGUAAAAUUCCCAUAGGUUCGAAUCCUAUACUCUCUGAAUAAACAGGUUAGAGCCAGGUUGGUUAGGCGUCUCAUUUGGGUUGAGGAGUAGUUAUGUUCGAAUCAUAAUAACCUGAAAUAUAAAGAUAUGAAUUAUAUAAUAAGUAUAUAAAGAAACUACUAUGGAUAAUUAGCUAUAUAUUAUAAGAAAUAUAAUAAAGAAUUCUAAGAGAAAUCCAGUAAUAAACAAAGUGAACUGAAAUAUCUUAGUAACUUUAGGAAAAAAAAUCAAACGAGAUUAUUAAUUAGUUAAUAACUAAUUAGUAAUAGCCUAAAAGUAAAAUGGAUAAAAUCUGUUUGAAUAUAGGGGAACCUUCCUCUAAGGCUAAAUAUAAUAUAUAAGCGAUAGCGAAAAGUACCGUGAGGGAAAAUUUGAAAUAGUAGUUUUAUAAGCAGCUCGAGUAAAAAUUAAAUUAAUAAUGAGAGUGUACCUUUUGCAUAAUGGGUCAGCAAGUUAAUUUUAGAUGCAAGCAUUGAUAAUUAAAAAUCAAGCUUAGAUAAACCAAUUAUGAGAAAAUGAAUUAGUAUCUAAAAUUAGACCCGAAGGCUAGUGAUCUUACCAUGGUCAGGAUUAUAAAAGUCCGAACGGGUUAUCGUUGUAUAGAUAUCCGAAGAACUGUGGUAAGUUAGUGAAAGACAAAACUGACUAGUAUAGCUGGUUUUCCGCGAAACCUAUAUGAGUAGGUAAUUUAACUAACAUCUUAGCAGGUACAGAACUGUGAUCUCGGACAAUAUCAUCAAGUUUUCAACUUGAUGAUUUUUGUAUACAUCGGGGGAUUGUAGUGAUUUUACCGGAGAGUAUUUGCACUCGGAAUGGCAAAGAUGAAUGUUGAAUAAUCGGACAUAGUACGAUAAGGUUGUAUGUCUAAAGGGAAACAGCCCAGAACAAGAGUUUAAGGUUCCAAAAUUAUUGUUGAGUGAAAUUAAGGAUGUUUUUUUCUAAUACAAUCAGGAAAUAGGCUUAGAAGCGGCCAUUUUUUGAAGACCUCGUAACAGAGCACUGAUUAAUAUUUUAGAAAAAAACACCGAAAAUUUAACGGAUCUAAACAAUAUACCGAAACCUUGUACACAUGUGUAUAAUAAUUCUAUAUGAUUGCGUAUGUGGGGUAGCGGAACAUUGGAUAUAUAUUUAUUAUUAAUUCUUUUUAAGAAUUAAUAAGUAUGAAUAAUGAGUAAGUAAUAUUUAAAACAAUUAUGUUUUAAGGAUAUUUAUAUAAUAUUCUUCUAUAUUGUAAGUAUAUAAGAUUUUAUAUAAAUAUAUAGACGUAUUAAUUUAUAAUAUGUCUUUAUUAUGAAAAUUAUUCAUCGAUAUAAUCCAAGAGAGAAUGCUGACAUGAGUAACGAAAAAGGAAAAUCCUCGCCUUAAGCUUAUGGUAUUUUAUUUAAUUUUCGGUAUCUAAAUUUUUAAUCAAAAGGUAAUUUUGAUGAUAUUUGUAUACAAUUAUAAUAAGUAAAAAACAAAACCUUUAUUAAGUAAUAAAGGUUCUGGAAAAUUUUUUACUUAGCCCGCCAAAAAAAAAUUUUUUUUUGGCGGGGAAUCCCCCCCUCCGGGGGGGGAAGCCCCCCCUCCGGGGGGCGGGGAUGCAAAAUAUAAUUGAUAUAUACCGUACCUAAAUACUAUCACAAGUAAGCAAGUAGAGUAUACAAAGGCGUUUGAGAGAACAAUCAUUAAGGAACUCGGCAAAUUGACUACCGUAACUUCGGGAUAAGGAGGGCCAUUUAUAUUAAUUUAACCGAAGUAAAAUUCGGAUAAUUAUUAAAUUAAUAUAAAGAGGAAGCAUAAAAUAGUGUUGUACGACUGUUUAAUAAAAACACAGCACUCUGCGAAGAUAAAAUAUCAAAGUAUUGAGUGUGAUGUCUGCCCAAUGUCGGCUGGGUAACGGAUUUAUCUUGGUUUAUAACUAAGGUUUUGAAGGAUACCCCGACGAAUGGCGGCCUUACCUAUGAGGGUCCUAAGGUAGCGGAAUACCUUGGCCGUUAAAUGCGGUCCUGCAUGAAUGACUUAACGAUACAACAGCUGUCUCGAUGAUUGUCUCAGUGAAAUUGGAAUAGCAGUGCAGAUACUGUUUACCUCUAGAUAGACGAGAAGACCCUAUGCAGCUUUACUGUUACUAAUUCUAAGAAUUUUUCAUUAGGUUAAUUUUGAGUGUAUAAGGUAAUAGUCUUAUGACAAUGAAACACCUUUAUUUGUACCUAAUAUAUUCUCAAGGAUUAGAAGGCAGUUUAUGCGGGGCACAGAUCCCACAAAAAGUACCUGGGUAUAUCCAAAGUUGUAAAUUUGUAAAUGAUAGUUUACAAAUAUAUUUAAUUUGUUAUUAAUUAUUCUCAUAAUAAUACAGUUAUUAUUAGAUUAAGUUCAGUUUAUUUUUAUUCUAGGUAAGAUUUUAACUAUAUGGUGAAUAGAUGUAUUUUAAGCUUUUAAUUUUUAAAGGCUUAUUUUCAUAUUAAUGUUUUAUUAAUAUGAUGUUUAUACAUACUACAAAAGUUUAAUGGCUAAAUCUUGCCUUACUGUUUGACCUACGAGUCUAUCAGUCGCGUAAGCGGGGCAUAUGAUCACAAGAUGCAUUAAGGAAAGGUCUUGGAUUAUAGAAAAAGUUACGCUAGGGAUAACAGGCUAAUUUGCGCAAGAGAGUACAAAUUGAGUGCGCGGUUUGGCACCUUGAAAAAAAACAAUAUGAAUAGAUUAGAUAAAUGAUAUUAAGGAUAUGUUAAUAGGUUGCAUACUAGGUGAUGCACAUAUAGGUAAGUCUGGUGACGAUAAAGGAUUUAUUACUUUUGAACAAACAAU
rnacentral:sRNA from 1 species